GACGAACGCUGGCGGCGUGCUUAACACAUGCAAGUCGAACGGAAAGGCCCCUUUGGGGGUACUCGAGUGGCGAACGGGUGAGUAACACGUGAGUAACCUGCCCUUGACUUCGGGAUAACUUCAGGAAACUGGGGCUAAUACCGGAUAGGAAUCCUUGCUGCAUGGUGGGGUUGGAAAGCUUCGGCGGUUUUGGAUGGACUCGCGGCUUAUCAGCUUGUUGGUGGGGUAGUGGCUUACCAAGGCUUUGACGGGUAGCCGGCCUGAGAGGGCGACCGGCCACAUUGGGACUGAGAUACGGCCCAGACUCCUACGGGAGGCAGCAGUGGGGAAUAUUGCACAAUGGGCGGAAGCCUGAUGCAGCAACGCCGCGGGCGGGAUGACGGCCUUCGGGUUGUAAACCGCUUUCAGCAGGGGCGAAGCUUGUGGUGACGGUACCUGCAGAAGAAGCACCGGCUAACUACGUG
rnacentral:rRNA from 1 species